AGCCUUCCCGGAUGGGUGUUGCGCCGCUUUCAGUAAGAAUUCCUUUUACAAAACAAGAGCGGGCGCGCGCCUUUAUAAGUUUGAGAAGAUGCAUCAGAUUUGUUAACCUGGUUUUCUCUGGGUGGUGAGACUAGAUGUCUACUUAUUUCCAUUGCUAAGUAGAGGACGUGGCACACAGGUUAACUCAGAACAUAGCCCCUCCGCAUACUCAGAAGACUGAUAACUGCCCGGCUAGCAGCCAAGGAAGGUAGUACACAAAGAGCUUUCAAGCAGUGCCUACUCGCAAGGACGUUUUCUGCUGCUCCCAUGGAUGUUAUCUGUUCCUGUAACCAAGCAGCACAUCUUAAUCCCAUCCAUCUGAGAAUGUGGCUGCUCCCCCAACGAGAUAACCCCUCCCUUGCUUGCGGGCAUAAAAAACUCUGCUUGCACUUGGUCAGCAGCAGUUUUUAUUCCUGCAGCUCUGACCGGCCGCUUCUGAAGCUUCCCUGCCUUGUGAGUAAUAAAUGGCAUUUCUCAUCCC